GGACCCGCACAAGCGGUGGAUGAUGUGGAUUAAUUCGAUGCAACGCGAAAAACCUUACCUACCCUUGACAUGCCAGGAAUCCCGGAGAGAUCUGGGGGUGCCCGAAAGGGAGCCUGGACACAGGUGCUGCAUGGCUGUCGUCAGCUCGUGUCGUGAGAUGUUGGGUUAAGUCCCGCAACGAGCGCAACCCUUGUCGUUAAUUGCCAUCAUUUGGUUGGGCACUUUAAUGAGACUGCCGGUGACAAACCGGAGGAAGGUGGGGAUGACGUCAAGUCCUCAUGGCCCUUAUGGGUAGGGCUUCACACGUCAUACAAUGGUCGGUCCAGAGGGUUGCCAACCCGCGAGGGGGAGCUAAUCCCAGAAAGCCGAUCGUAGUCCGGAUUGCAGUCUGCAACUCGACUGCAUGAAGUCGGAAUCGCUAGUAAUCGCGGAUCAGCAUGUCGCGGUGAAUACGUUCCCGGGUCUUGUACACACCGCCCGUCACACCAUGGGAGCGGGUUCUGCCAGAAGUAGUUAGCCUAACCGCAAGGGGGGCGAUUACCACGGCAGGGUUCGUGACUGGGGUGAAGUCGUAACAAGGUAGCCGUAGGGGAACCUGCGGCU
rnacentral:rRNA from 1 species